AACGAAGGAAACAGAUCGAGAGUGAGUGGGAAGAAGAGAAGAGAGGAAGAUCGAGAUAGAGAAAUAGAUCCAGUUAGAUCGAGAACGUUGAGUUCAUCCAUGGUGGUUUACGGUGGUGCUAGAGUUGUUGGAAAAGAAUUGUUCUUCUUUGCUAAAACGAGAUGGGUAGUAUGGAGAGGGAUUUCCGUGUUAGUGUAAUAGGGGGCAAGCAUAGAGAUAUUUAUUUGAUGGAUUGUAAAGCUGGCACUAGUGGAACAAUGUUCAUGGUCCUUUUUAGGGCCUCCGACUUACACCGACGUACAUGAUGGAUCUCUUGGCAGAAACUGAUUGAUUGUCGGUGCAUUUGUGACCAAUUGGGAUGUUGAUAGUCUCGUCUUGGAGGAUAACCCCUUUAUAAACUUUGUUGAGCUUCCUGAUACAUGCCAAGGUCUAUAUUAUUGCAAUGUCCUCAGCGGAGUCAUCAGAGGAGCUCUAGAAACGGUGUCUAUGAAAACUGAAGUCUCAUGGGUUCCUGAUAUGUUGCGUGGAGAUGAUGCAUACGAGUCACGAGUGAAGCUUUUGAAGCAAGUUCCUGAAGAGUACACGUACAAAGACGAUGAGUACUUUCUGACAGUCUACAUUAGUACUUAGUAGUUUCAUUUUUGUGCAAUGUCCAAAAAAAAAAUGUCUCCAAAUUAUCAUAAGUUUUUAUACUUCUGCUCUUUUCUCGUAAUGAUUGCUACAUAAACAAGCUCUCUUAGAAACCUUGCUAGAAUUGUAAUUUUUGGGUGUUCAACGUCCUACUUCAGAGGCAAACAUCAAAUUUCUGUGUGUUUGAAGUGUAUUUGUUUCACUAAAUUUACCAUGUAACCAUAUCAGUUAAUAGAAGUUCUUGCACUGCUGAAA